rnacentral:rRNA from 1 species
UGGGGAAUAUUGGACAAUGGGCGAAAGCCAGAUCCAGCCAUGCCGCGUGUGUGAAGAAGGUCUUCGGAUUGUAAAGCACUUUAAGUUGGGAGGAAGGGCAGUAAGCGAAUACCUUGCUGUUUUGACGUUACCGACAGAAUAAGCACCGGCUAACUCUGUGCCAGCAGCCGCGGUAAUACAGAGGGUGCAAGCGUUAAUCGGAAUUACUGGGCGUAAAGCGCGCGUAGGUGGUUCGUUAAGUUGAAUGUGAAAGCCCCGGGCUCAACCUGGGAACUGCAUCCAGGACUGGCGAGCUAGAGUAGGGCAGAGGGUGGUGGAAUUUCCUGUGUAGCGGUGAAAUGCGUAGAUAUAGGAAGGAACACCAGUGGCGAAGGCGACCACCUGGGCUCAUACUGACACUGAAGUGCGAAAGCGUGGGGAGCAAACAGG